rnacentral:rRNA from 1 species
UACGUAGGGUGCGAGCGUUAAUCGGAAUUACUGGGGCGUAAAGCGUGCGCAGGCGGCGCGUUAAGACAGGUGUGAAAGCCCCCGAGCUUAACUUGGGAAUUGCGCUUGUGACUGGCGUGCUGGAGUGUGGCAGAGGGAGGUGGAAUUCCACGGUGUAGCAGUGAAAUGCGUAGAGAUGUGGAGGAACACCGAUGGCGAAGGCAGCCUCCUGGGCCACACUGACGCUCAUGCACGAAAGCGUGGGGAGCAAACAGG